rnacentral:rRNA from 1 species
CAUGCGUCGCAUUAGCUAGUUGGCGGGGUAACGGCCCACCAAGGCGACGAUGCGUAGGGGUUCUGAGAGGAAGGUCCCCCACACUGGUACUGAGACACGGACCAGACUCCUACGGGAGGCAGCAGUGGGGAAUAUUGGUCAAUGGCCGCAGGGCUGAACCAGCCAAGUCGCGUGAGGGAUGACGGUCCUAUGGAUUGUAAACCUCUUUUGUCAGGGAGCAAAGGGCGCCACGUGUGGCGCUUUGCGAGUACCUGAAGAAAAAGCAUCGGCUAACUCCGUGCCAGCAGCCGCGGUAAUACGGAGGAUGCGAGCGUUAUCCGGAUUUAUUGGGUUUAAAGGGUGCGCAGGCGGAAUGUCAAGUCAGCGGUAAAAUUUCGGGGCUCAACCCCGUCGUGCCGUUGAAACUGGCGUUCUUGAGUGAGCGAGAAGUAUGCGGAAUGCGUGGUGUAGCGGUGAAAUGCAUAGAUAUCACGCAGAACUCCGAUUGCGAAGGCAGCAUACCGGCGCUCAACUGACGCUCAUGCACGAAAGCGUGGGUAUCGAACAGGAUUAGAUACCCUGGUAGUCCACGCAGUAAACGAUGAAUACUAACUGUCCGGGCAGAAUGAUGCCUGG